CUGAACCACAAAACGCGUUUACGAACACACGAAGAACCCUCUGAGGCUGUGUUUGAAUCGCCGACUCUCUUUCUAUCUCUCUCUCCGAUCUCCGUCGUAGCUACUCCGAUUCUCUCUGGUUUCUCUCACCGGUAAGGCCUUUCGAUUACCUGUGAAUUUCUCAGGGCGACGCUACCAAAUAAAAGCACGAAAUUGAUUUCUAGGGUUUCGUUCGUGCCCUGACUCGUUAGCUGGAAUCUCCGAUUUGUCUGCCUAAUUCUGAUAUCUGUUACUUAAUUUCACGAAUUGUUGAUCGUGCGUGUACUGAUUUUCAUAUACAGUCUCUGUUCAUUCUAUCUAUUACAUGCUUUAAAGAAAAAUUCAAGAAAUUGAAUUGUUGCUUUGGGGUUAGGAUUGGUUAGGGUUUCAUAGUAUUAAAGUGAAUACAAAAAGAAUAAAAUUGUUGAUUUUGGUUAUUGGUUUGUAUUCUGGAAUUGUUGAUUUGUGGGUGGGUUAGGGUUUGGGCAGUUGGAAUCUUUUUUGAGUCUGGUCAGGCUUUGUGUUUCUUAUUUUUUGCUUGAGUUUUUUAUAUUGAUUGAGAAGAGUUGUGGUUGUGAAUCACAUGGCGGCAGGGGGAGUUGAUGUUUCAAGGACAAGGGAAUUUUAUAAGCAUUCCAAAAGAGAGCAUGAUUAUUACAGGAAUGGUUCCUCUGUUGUGGAAUUCGGUAGGGACUGUGAUCGUGGUGCCAGACAUAAUAAUGAAUACCGUUAUUCAUCGAAAGCUCGCGAUUCAGGGUCUAGAAGAGGUGUGUUUGGUAGUAGAACCGGACAGAGAAAGCAUGAUGAGUUGUCUAGAGUUAAUGAAGUCACAGAUUACGAAGAUGGGGUUCAGGUACCUCCAGAGAAAAAGAGGAAGUUCUCGCCAAUUGUAUGGGAUAGAAAAGAAAAGGAUGUGAGGAUAUCAUCUAAAAACAGAGUUGUUCCAGUUACUCUGCUGUCUCCUCCUUGUCAGUCUGCAGCUAGUUUGGAUGGUGUGGCAUUUGAUGAUGUUUCAAAUGUGGGUAUUUUGAAGCCUGCUGUCUCAGGAGAUGAGAUUCUGGGAUUGGAGAGUUCGGCAAAUAAGCCUGCUGUGACGGAUGUGUUUGUCGGUGUUUCUAAAUUCAGUUCUCGAGCAGAUUUGUCUCCCUUGUUGCCUUCGGAGCAAUUUAAGGAUGCUGACUUUGGACAUGACUGUGUGGAAGAGGAUGAGUUUGCUCAAGCACGGAAUAUCACAAUGUCAAGGUGGGCAUCUGACUGUGAUUCUCCGAAGGACUUGUCUGUUGGCGAAGAUUUUCCUGACAAAAGGAGGUCGAGUCUUGAGAGUGGGGAGAUUCAAAUAGAAAGCUCAGGAGGUGGUAGGGCUAGGUCAUCUGGCUCUAAUGGAGAAGGUCACUCUUUGGUACACGUUAGUGGAGAUGCAUUUUGUGAAAAUGAGUUUUCAGACGAUUAUAUGGAUGUUGAUGGCAAACAAGAUGCUGGUUUUAGCCGGUCAGAAUCAGACUCAGAGGACAGCGGUGAUUCCCAUCAGAUUGAAAAGUCUAGCAUCGGUACCCAAAGAAGCAUAAACAUGCUUCAGGGUUGCAGAAGUGUGUAUGAGUUUGAAAUGAUUAACAAAAUAAACGAAGGAACUUAUGGUAUUGUGUAUAAAGCCAAGGAUAAGAAGACAGGGCAAAUUGUGGCCUUGAAGAAGGUGAAGAUGGGUAUAGAAAAGGAAGGUGGUUUCCCUUUGUCAUCUUUGAGGGAAAUAAAUAUUCUCUCUUCUUUUAAUCACCCUUCUGUUGUUGGUGUUAAAGAAGUUGUCUUGGAUGACUUUGGUACUGUUUUCAUGGUUAUGGAGUACAUGGAAUAUGACCUCAGGGCCCUAGUGGAGGUGAUGAAACAGCCUUUUAGCAUAAGCGAGGUUAAGUGCUUGAUGCUACAGCUUUUGGAGGGUGUCAAGUAUCUUCAUGAAAAUUGGGUGCUUCAUAGAGAUUUGAAGACAUCAAACCUUCUUGUGAGCAAGGAGGGUGAGUUGAAAAUUUGCGACUUCGGGUUGUCUCGCCAGUAUGGAAGCCCUUUGAAGCCAUAUACACCUGUUGUGGUCACCCUUUGGUACAGAGCACCUGAACUUCUGCUAGGCACAAAGCAGUACUCAACCGCUAUUGAUAUGUGGUCAGUGGGAUGUAUAAUGGCUGAAUUGGUGGCAAAGGAACCACUUUUCCCAGGGAAAAAUGAAGUAGAUCAGCUUGGCAAGAUUUUCCAAAUUCUUGGUGCACCAAAUGAAGAGAUUUGGCCUGGAUUAAAAAAAUUGCCAGGAGUUAGACCAAAUAUAAAGCAAAUGCAUAAUCUAUUGCGGAAGAAGUUUCCUGCCAGAUCCUUCACAGGAUCUCCAGUUCUUUCUAAUUUGGGAUUUGACUUGUUGAACAAACUUUUAUCCUAUGACCCGGAUAAGCGGAUAACAGCAGAGGCUGCUCUCAAGCAUGACUGGUUUCGUGAGGUUCCUCUUCCCAGAUCGGAUUUCAAGCUAAAUUUUCCUGUUUGGGAUGGCCAAGAGAGGUAGCAUAGGUAGCUGGCUGCUUGAUAGUACCUAAUAGAGCAAUUUCUCACUUUAUGCAAUAGAAACUAUGUGUCCACCUAAUUGUUUGGCAUCUGCAAGAAUAACAAACAGUCAGGAUCCUUUAGAGGAGCAGUGAGAAAGGAGUUGCAAUGAAGUUGAAUGGUUUACUUGGCCAAGAGCGGUGGAUUGAUGCAUAGUGGCCUUUGGGAAGAGGUAUAACCAGGUGGGUGAGUAAGUUGUGACCUCUUGGAUGUGGAAGAGAAGUCUUCAGAACCUAGUUAACACAGCUGAAGCAGGUUACCAUAUUAUGUUUCUGUUCAAAAUUGUCUUAUCAUUGCAUUUUCAACCCUUGCAUAUUUCACAUGGCGUAUGGUUGAUAGGGAAGAAGGCAAGGUAAAUUUACCAAUGCUUCUGUCAAGUGUUGAUUUUGUUUGGUGCUCUGGUUGCAGUAUGCAUGUAUAACAGUGAUCUCAGCAUUUUCUAGGUUAUUGUUUGCUUCACUGCCAAUAAAAAGAAAAGAUUCCAGUUUUCUUCCUGCAUCCUCUAAUAUAUUGAUAAUGAUAGAGACCAUGUCUCAUCAAGUGGAAGUCACUAGAUCGAAUCUCUCAUCUCCCUUCCUUUCUUUUGUGUGGACAUGUCUCUUCCAUGAUGCUUAUCCUAUACACGAUUGUUGUCAUUCACAUCUCUUUUUUAUUUUAUUUUUUAACUUGACGGAGUAUGAUUUUAUUAUAUCCCUACUUAUUGACUAGUGUUUCUGUCUAUGUAAAUCUAUGAGUUAGGAACUAAUCACUUGAUCUGGUAACAACGGUGCCUUUGACAUACAAACCGAGGUAUGUAUCUCGUCCUGUAACUAUAUCCUUCGGGCAAGCAAUUGGCUGGUAUGUUCAUAACUUUCUUGCUGGAGUGCUUAUGGCAUAUUGUACAGUAUGUUUCUAUUUCAACUGCGUCUUUACAUUUUGCUUACUAUCAAAAGCUUUCCUGAUAAAUUAUUCUCGAAAGAACUAUUCUCUUUGAAGGGAGUCCACUGAUCUCUGGGAGCAUCCCAAUUUUCUGUGUUGAUGGUAAGUUAUUUGCUGAAUGGUUUGAUGCUUUUUAAGAAUUGAAUUAAAUGGCCGAGGCCUUUCCAGCAAACAGUCACCAUCACGAAUUGUCACCACAAGAUCCUUCUUACGCAGUCUAACUCGUUUUUGGCCGUGUAACGCUCUAUUGUCUCUAGUUUCCCAAUCAAAGCAGCACAAUUUGGGGGCGGGUUGCAGAUGAUGAUGAUGGUGGUUAUUAUGAUCAUGAUAUGUAGGUCCAAGGUUUUUAUGAUUGACGAUGUUAUUUAUUUAUUUAUUUUUAUUACUUAGUUACACGCCCACUUGGUGGGGCUUGAACUCACGACAUCACUCAAAAAAUGGUGAUAAAUUCUUCAUUCUUCAAGAUUGAGAUAAAGGUAACUUUAUCACAUUUGACCAACAAUUUUGGAAUCCCUA